CUUCUUCUGUGAUUUACCACCAAUCUUGCCUAAUUUCUUUGACAAACAUUUGCAAUUUGCAAUUGCAAAUUGCUGAAAAGUAG